rnacentral:rRNA from 1 species
UACGUAGGGCGCAAGCGUUGUCCGGAAUUAUUGGGCGUAAAGAGCUCGUAGGCGGCUUGUCACGUCGGGUGUGAAAGACCGGGGCUUAACCCCGGUUCUGCAUUCGAUACGGGCUGGCUAGAGUGUGGUAGGGGAGAUCGGAAUUCCUGGUGUAGCGGUGGAAUGCGCAGAUAUCAGGAGGAACACCGAUGGCGAAGGCAGGUCUCUGGGCCACUACUGACGCUGAGAAGCGAAAGCAUGGGGAGCGAACAGG